UACGUAGGGGGCGAGCGUUGUCCGGAGUUACUGGGCGUAAAGGGCGCGCAGGCGGUCUGGUAAGUUUGGGGUGACAGUGCUCGGCUUAACUGAGCAAGGCCUUCGAAAACUGUCAGACUUGAGCACGCAAGAGGGACAUAGAAUUCCGGGUGGAGUGGUGAAAUGCGUAGAUAUCCGGAGGAAUACCAAAGGCGAAGGCAGUGUCCUGGGGAGUGUCUGACGCUCAGGCGCGAAAGCUAGGGGAGCGAACAGG
rnacentral:rRNA from 1 species